rnacentral:rRNA from 1 species
AGAGUUUGAUCCUGGCUCAGAACGAACGCUGGCGGCGUGGAUGAGGCAUGCAAGUCGAACGGGAUCCAGCAUGUAGCAAUACAGGCUGGUGAGAGUGGCGUAAGGGUGAGUAAUGCGUGGGUAAUCUACCUUUAAGAUCGGCAUAGCCCGGCGAAAGCUGGGAUAAUUCCGAAUGUGAUCGACCGGUGCAUACCGGUCUAUUCAAAGCUGGGGACCGCAAGGCCUGGCGCUUGAAGAUGAGCCCACGUCCUAUCAGCUAGUUGGUGAGGUAACGGCUCACCAAGGCUUACGGGUAGCUGGUCUGAGAGGACGAUCAGCCACACUGGGACUGAGACACUGCCCAGACUCCUACGGGAGGCUGCAGUCGAGAAUCUUUCGCAAUGGGCGCAAGCCUGACGAAGCGACGCCGCGUGUAGGAUGAAGGCCUUCGGGUUGUAAACUACUGUCUUUGGGGAGCAACGGCCGGGAUAUUAAUACUGUCCCGGAGUGAUAGUACUCAAGGAGGAAGCCACGGCUAACUCUGUGCCAGCAGCCGCGGUAAUACAGAGGUGGCGAGCGUUGUUCGGAUUUACUGGGCGUAAAGGGUGCGUAGGCGGUUCUGCGUGUCGGAUGUGAAAUCUCACUGAAAACGGUGAAACUGCAUUCGAAACUGCAGGGCUAGAGUGCAGGAGAGGAUGGCGGAAUUCUCGGUGUAGCGGUGAAAUGCGUUGAUAUCGAGAGGAACGCCGGUGGCGAAGGCGGCCAUCUGGACUGCAACUGACGCUGAGGCACGAAAGCUAGGGGAGCAAACAGGAUUAGAUACCCUGGUAGUCCUAGCCGUAAACGGUGUGAACUUGGUGUGGGAGGAAUUAUCCCCUUCCGUGCCGUAGCUAACGCGAUAAGUUCACCGCCUGGGGAGUACGGCCGCAAGGCUAAAACUCAAAGGAAUUGACGGGGGCCCGCACAAGCGGUGGAGCAUGUGGCUUGAUUCGAUGCAACGCGAAGAACCUUACCUGGGCUUGACAUGUAACUGCAAAUCCGGUGAAAGCCGGACUCCUUCGAGGGUGUUACACAGGUGCUGCAUGGCUGUCGUCAGCUCGUGCCGUGAGGUGUUAGGUUAAGUCCCGCAACGAGCGCAACCCUUGUGAUUAGUUGCUAAACGCGCAAGCGAAGCACUCUAAUCAGACUGCCUGUGAUAAGCAGGAGGAAGGUGGGGAUGACGUCAAGUCAGUAUGGUCCUUAUGCCCAGGGCUGCACACGUGCUACAAUGAACGGUACAGAGGGAUGCGAAACCGCGUGGUGGAGCAAAUCCCCGAAAACCGAUCACAGUUCAGAUUGGAGUCUGCAACUCGACUCCAUGAAGCUGGAAUCGCUAGUAAUGGCGCAUCAGCUACGGCGCCGUGAAUACGUUCCCGGGCCUUGUACACACCGCCCGUCACAUCAUGAAAGCCGAUUGCACCCGAAGUCGCUGUUUCGACCCGCAAGGGAGAUAGGUGCCUAAGGUGUGGUUGGUGAUUGGGAUGAAGUCGUAACAAGGUA